rnacentral:misc_RNA from 1 species
CCGAGUUCUGAGGUCUCUUUUGAGCCUCAACUCCCACACCAUGUGUACCUUACCUUCUGUUGCUUCGGCGAGCCGCCCUGAAAAGGGCGCCAACCUCUUCGCGGGUUGGAGCGUCUCGCUCGCCGGAGGACCAUGAAACUCUUGCUAAUUGAAUCGUCUGAGUAACGUUUUAAUAAAUUA